AGAGGCUGGCCCUGGGCGUACAUACAGGGUCGCAGGGGCGGCCGGGCCCCCUGGUGGGCCGGGCCCGGUCGCAGUCGCGACCCCUGCGACCCUGUUAUGUACGCCACUGACCAGCCACUUGCCGUAUGACUAUGGCCCCUGGGAGAUUGUGCCAGUUAGAAACACCAUUUGGACUUAUUGGUGGUUUAAAAGACUGUUCUGGCCCUUUAAAUGGUACUGGCACAGUUCUGCAAUUUCCAAACUCUGUCUGACCCUUUUAACUGUCAUUUUGUUUUCCUCUGAGGAGGAGUUGUUUUGCUGCAUGAGUGCUGUUGCUUUUGUGUGCUCAUUAAACAGACCUGCUUGACCCUUUCUUGAAGCCUUGGCUCAUGCUUGGGGGAUGGGAUAAGUCUGCAGUGCUGAUGGUGUCAGUUGGAGUGCUUGGAUUCCUCGGCAACCACUAGGAGCAUCGAUUGACGGAGGUACUCGGUCGAAGUGCCAGCGGGCCCGUCACAUGCAGUAUCAUAUUUAUAAUUGUAAUGUACUGAUACUAAUGUGUAUACAUUUAUUUUACUGUUAAAUGUAUAUGCAUUGUUUUAUAGUCGUGAAGUGUUACCUAUAUUAAUCAAGUCUUGGUAUUCUUCAACAAUGAAGAAUAUAAUCCCAUUAAUUGGUCAUUGUGAGGUUUUAAAACCUCUAUUCUGUUGAGGGUUCCCGUUAACUUUAACUGAAGUUGUACCUAUUUGGAAGAGACAUGGAAAUUACACAUAAAGCAAACCAGUAAAGAUUUUCAAAUUAUUUUAAUAAAAGAAUGUUAGAAUUAUGACAUAGAGGCUAAUAAACCAAGCUGAGUAUGUGAUUUGAUGAGUUUUAGAAAAACCUCUUAAAGGGGAAUAAUUGGGUUUACAUAACACGAGACUGUGUAAACACUACUGUACAAAUAAGAUAACAGAAUAUGAAAUCAUUAUGAUUGAAAGAACCUGUUCUUGAAUAAUAAAAAUCUAGUGUACUUUUUUAACAUGCAUGUUACCUUUAUAUUGACAUAGUGUUCUUAGCCUCAAGUUGGCCUCCAAAUCCUGUCAUCACACCAAUGCUGUUAAACGAACACUCAAAGCACCAUAACCACUUCAGCUCACUGGUGUGCCAGUCUGCCCUUGUGCAUCCCAUUUUAAGUAAUUUAAAACAUGUUGAAUGCCUCCACUACUUGCGCCAAAGACAGCCAAAAGCUCCUAAGCAGAAAUGUCCAUUAGGUCUCCUGAGCAAAGACCUGCAGUGCAGGGCAUGGCACAUUGGAUGAGAGUGAUCAGCUUUCACUCUCAGCCAGUGAGAGUUCCUGCUUAGAAAAUUCUGUCUCUUUGGCUUUAGUAGUGGUAGGUGAGUGUCAUCCAGCAGAACCCAGAUAAGAGGUCAAAUGUUUAAAGACUGGUUUGACUGCUUACAAUAGGGUGGAUGCCAGGGAUCUCCAGGAGCCAUAAUCACAUCAGUGAUAUGUAGUGGUUAUGGUGCAUGGUUUGUUCCUUGAGUUAUAGUAAGUCUGGCAAAAUUACUUGAGAUACUUUGAUGGAUAUCAACCAAUCCUCCUGGAAAAACAGUAUCAAAUUAUAUCUCCCAUGAUUCUUUUAUUCACACUGAGAACAAAAUCCAGUUUGCACAAUUUCCUCUAAAAUAUCAAAGCUGUGAGAAUGUCUUCAAGUCACCUAUUUUUGCCUUAAUAUUGCAAUUUGUGUUUUAAUUCACUACAUUUGAGUGUUUAGAGAAUAAACCAUUUAGUGUCUUGUAUUAGAGAUUUUUUUUUUUUAAACCUCACCGUAAAACUGUAAGUUACAUGUUACCUGUUACAAGUGUAUGUUACACGUUUUAUUGUUGUUUUAAGAUCCAUAACUCAUAUUGUGUACUAAUCAAAUAUAAAAUCAUUAGCCAUUCUCGUUUACUAGCUUGCAAUUGAUUUUUUUGUUUAAAUAAACACAGACAUACUUUUCCAUUUCAGAAAGAUUAUGCAUUUUUCAGCUUUGCAAAAUGCUUAAUAGACUAGAACACGCUGCUGCUAUAUGUUAUACAACUAAUAUAUCAGCUUGCUAAAAGAUCCGUAUGCUAUAGCUUGUGUUUAUAAGAGAAAUCCCAGCUUCCUUAUGAUAAUUUUGUAGAUAUUUUUAUUUGUUAACAGAAUUGCUGCCUAAUAUAACAUUACAUUACAAUUGCACUGAGCCUUGUUGAACAAAUAUCAGACAUUCGUACUUGUUUCGCUAGCUCGUUCUUUUAUUCAGUACCUUGGCCAAUGUGAUUCAUUAGUUACUAUGGGGGAAAAGUGAUUUCUGUGUGUUUAGAAACAUGUUGGCAUCACAUACAAAAUAACGUGUCUUCAUUUCAGGAGUAACACUUUGAUGAAUGAGUUGUUUUCUCUUCUCCUGAUACCAUGCUGUCAGUCUAAAUUUACAUAUAAAUAUAACAAUUUCCCGACCUCACAAAAAAGCUGUGCAAUUGUGUAUUAUUUUAUUGUAGAUUGAUGGAAAGUUUGAAAUAUUUGUUUUCAAUUUUAUUUUAACUAUGACUGUUAAAAAAAAAAAACUAUAACUAUGAAUGUGCUUUUAGAAGCAGAAAUCACAUUCUUUUUAUGAAACUUUUCUGUUGUGUAUCUUGUUAUGUGCUUUCUGACAUGAAUGAAUAAAGUUUAAAAUAUUUUCAUCUGCCCCCCUUUUUUUUUAAAGUACUCACUGCAAAUGUGCUUAUUGUUCUUGUUUCAUUGUUGAGAAUGUGCACGUUUAAAAAGUUUUUUUAGUUUUUUGAAGCAAUCUUUUAAAUUGUGAAACCGAAAUUGAUCAGGCUAGGAUAUGGGAGCAACACAUUGUUG
rnacentral:lncRNA from 1 species